UGUGUGUGUGCUGACCUGUGUGCUGCCUGCUCUCACACUAGAAUGUCAGUUCCAAGAAAUCCAGCCUUGCUGCCAGUAUCGCCACCGCCCUGAAAUCCCAGUGCCCUGAACGGUUCCCAGCAUACGCUAGAAGCUCAACAAGUAUCUGCUGAAUGAAAGCAUGCAUGAAUGGGCUAAACUGGAUCACUAUGGGAUACACUGAAUUAUUGUAGAGAUGUUAGGGAAUUUCUAAGUUUAUAGAUGAUCAAGCUUUUUUUGUCUGCCUCUGAGCAUGGAAAAAAAAACCAGAAACAAAGCUCAAAUGAAGCUAGGCUAAUACUCAUUGGAAAGUCAGGGAAAACUAAUUUGGGUGGAAGGAGAAAUGACCCUCAUCUCACUUGAAGUUUUGUUACCAGUGUCUAAUGAGCCAGGGACUCCAGUCCCCAUCACUAAGGGCUCUCUCAGGACCUUGCACACAGGCGGCUGUACAAAGGACCCAGGGACUUCCCUCCAUGGCUGGAGCUGUCUGUGACAGCAGAGCGGCUGGGUGUAGGGAUGUGGGUCUUUCAAGACCCCACCCACUUUAUCUUCUCGUCUUCACAUUGGACAGGCGAGUUGUCCAAUACAAAACCCAAAGGAGUAUUUUUAUGUAAGCUGACACACCCUGCCCUCUGUAAGUCAUGGUGUUUUUUGAUAAGGAUAUGGUGGUUCUCUUAUCUUUUUUCCAUGUGGUGUUCUCUGCUGCACACAACCCUGACUUAGUGCAAUUGUGCUAAUUGGAAGAUGCGCUGACUGGGUGGUGCCUACCUCUCUGAUUUAGAGGAAAUACGUGGUCUGCUCUGGCCCACUGGACGGGUCUCCCAACAUUGACUGCCUAGCCUCCAGUGGAACCAUCUUUGCCGUCUGCAGAAAGCCCCUCAGGAUAGGAUCUCUGAAUCAGUGGGUAGCUUCAUGAGAGAGGUCGAAAGAGUUGGGAGGAUGCUGAUGGAAGUGGGGAGGACUGCAGUCGCCCUGCACUUGUUUGUCUAAAAGUGAUGAGAAGACCUCACCCAAAUGCAAGAGCCAUGACCCUGACCCAUCACUGCCCCAUGUUACAGGAGACAGGAUUUGACCAUCCUUCCACAGUUUCCUUUAAGGAAAUCCUCUAGGACUCAAUGAGGCCUCAGACCUAGUGGAAACUAUGAACUGUUUCAAGCAACAUAUCUGGAUUCUGCAAUCUGAAAAGCUAGGACCAAGGCAAAUGUAGAUACCAGUCGUCAGGAGCCCUGCAGGGAUUUGCAUCCGCGCGGAAAGCAUGGCUCAGUCAUAGGCAGACAUCAGCACCACGUGGUUCCCUGCUCCUCAUCCACUCCAAGGCAGCAUCAGGCACCAUUCAUCUUUAUAUCCAUGUCUAUUUGCUGAGACCCUGUCAGUGUAGCAUCAGCAGGUUUUAUGAGUCAGAACCAGUUUCUUCUCAUUCCUCUUCACAGAAUAAGAAAACUAAAGCUUAGAGAGGUCAUAAAGUUGUGCCCUGAUUCUCGCACUGGAAGGAAGCCCCGAGAACCUGCACCCAUCCCCACCUGGCCUCCCUCACCUACUUGGGAAUGAGCCUGGGAAACACAGGCUGACUCUGGGAUGAUGUUGGAGAGGCUCUACAUCCUGUGGGCACUUCCCACUCCACGUUACCCAGUGAGUCAAAGGCUUCUAGAAAGACAUUUAGUCACUCAAAGACACUGCAGAUCCCAGUGUCCAAGGAGGAACUUUCACUCUGGAAAACACGAGCUCAUUUCCCUUGGAGGAAAUCAUUUCUUCAGGACACUGAAUGGCACCAACCAGCACCCAGGAUCCUGAGAGGGUAUUGCAGCUCCCAAAACACCACUGGUGUGAGAAGCUCAAACCUUACAAAUACCAUGUUAUUCUUCCUGUGGAGGACUGCUUCUCCCAGAGAGCCCUAUCAAUACCUCCAAUGCGAUGUGAUCUUUUCACAAAAUGAACUCAACAUUCUUUACUGAAUGAUGA